AAAUUGAAGAGUUUGAUCAUGGCUCAGAUUGAACGCUGGCGGCAGGCCUAACACAUGCAAGUCGAACGGUAACAGGAAGAAGCUUGCUUCUUUGCUGACGAGUGGCGGACGGGUGAGUAAUGUCUGGGAAACUGCCUGAUGGAGGGGGAUAACUACUGGAAACGGUAGCUAAUACCGCAUAACGUCGCAAGACCAAAGAGGGGGACCUUCGGGCCUCUUGCCAUCGGAUGUGCCCAGAUGGGAUUAGCUAGUAGGUGGGGUAACGGCUCACCUAGGCGACGAUCCCUAGCUGGUCUGAGAGGAUGACCAGCCACACUGGAACUGAGACACGGUCCAGACUCCUACGGGAGGCAGCAGUGGGGAAUAUUGCACAAUGGGCGCAAGCCUGAUGCAGCCAUGCCGCGUGUAUGAAGAAGGCCUUCGGGUUGUAAAGUACUUUCAGCGGGGAGGAAGGGAGUAAAGUUAAUACCUUUGCUCAUUGACGUUACCCGCAGAAGAAGCACCGGCUAACUCCGUGCCAGCAGCCGCGGUAAUACGGAGGGUGCAAGCGUUAAUCGGAAUUACUGGGCGUAAAGCGCACGCAGGCGGUUUGUUAAGUCAGAUGUGAAAUCCCCGGGCUCAACCUGGGAACUGCAUCUGAUACUGGCAAGCUUGAGUCUCGUAGAGGGGGGUAGAAUUCCAGGUGUAGCGGUGAAAUGCGUAGAGAUCUGGAGGAAUACCGGUGGCGAAGGCGGCCCCCUGGACGAAGACUGACGCUCAGGUGCGAAAGCGUGGGGAGCAAACAGGAUUAGAUACCCUGGUAGUCCACGCCGUAAACGAUGUCGACUUGGAGGUUGUGCCCUUGAGGCGUGGCUUCCGGAGCUAACGCGUUAAGUCGACCGCCUGGGGAGUACGGCCGCAAGGUUAAAACUCAAAUGAAUUGACGGGGGCCCGCACAAGCGGUGGAGCAUGUGGUUUAAUUCGAUGCAACGCGAAGAACCUUACCUGGUCUUGACAUCCACAGAACUUUCCAGAGAUGGAUUGGUGCCUUCGGGAACUGUGAGACAGGUGCUGCAUGGCUGUCGUCAGCUCGUGUUGUGAAAUGUUGGGUUAAGUCCCGCAACGAGCGCAACCCUUAUCCUUUGUUGCCAGCGGUCCGGCCGGGAACUCAAAGGAGACUGCCAGUGAUAAACUGGAGGAAGGUGGGGAUGACGUCAAGU
rnacentral:rRNA from 1 species